AAAGGAAAAGACAGGAGUUAGACCCGAGCCUGUGUGGCCUGUGGGAUGUCGCUUCCCCUCCACAGUGCUGGUUCUGGGACUGUCCAAUCACAAGCCGUCCGACCAGGCCUCUGAUGAUGUAUCUGGGAGUCCUUUUGACUUCUUUUUUGAAACUCAGUCUGAUGAGCACCUGCCUCCAGCAGAGGUCCUCCAGCUGAUUUCCUUCUUGGACUUAGCCGACCCUUGAGCACAAGCUUCUUUUGCAUGUGAGCCGAAAGUUCAGAGAGGAAGAGCUGUUUGCCCAAGGCCAGCCAGCCAGCAGAGGAGUGAGGGCUAGAGCCAGCAAGGUGGGUACCUUUGCCUCCAUGUUCUCUGUUAGGCUUUUUUGUCUCUUGAACCACUUGGCCUGUCUUUGGUGGGCCUUAGGCCCCGUAAUUGACUCAUCCGUGCUCACCAGGUAAAGGUUGGCUUGGACUUGUGCCUGGAGACACGGAGUGAGCAUUAUCUGCUGAAAGCAUGGGUACCUUUGUGCCCGCGAGACCCGACAUCCUCACGGGAACACUCCACGAGGCAAAGGCUCCCUUUAUGCACCUGGAAGUAAGACAUGGGUCCCAAAGACAGGGUGACCCACAGUUCUCUCCAGCCAGGUGCUAGCUGCCACACCAAACUGGCAAAUCUGAACCCCUCCCUCAGGGCUGGCUGCUAAGAGUGGGGCAAACGACAAGCAGGAGGCAGGGGCAGCAGUGAUGUUAAGAGCCAGGGAAGCCUCUGAGCCCGCGCCCAGCCCACUCACGCAGCCUGUCAGCCCACCACCAGCUGUCUGUGUGCUACGUCUUCAUUACAACCACAUGCACCGGAAAUCGUCAAGCUUCCUUGACCUACGUAGAAACUUAAAGCCGUUUACAAAGCUGUUUACAGAGAGACGCCUAGGGAAGCUGUCGAACCCAUUUAAGAGAUGCGAGUAUCACACACUCACGCCGCCAGCACACAAGCGGCAGGCACUCACACCUGAGUGGAGCUGUGGAGACAGUCCCACUUCACGAGUCCCGUCUUUCUGGAAUCACCCAUGACCAUGCAUCUCAUCUCAGAGCAGGGCCAGGUUUCCUGAGGAGCCACUGACCAGGCCGACCCUCCUACACCAGGUAGGUUCUGCCACACUCCAUGUGUCUAACGCUCCCGGAACCCAGGGUGAAGUGACUAGUUAUGUAGAGGAUGAAUCAUGCUUCCCAGGGGAGUGUGGUUGCCGAGACAGCUGCUAGCAUCUGGAGCAGGAAGCCUAGGGAACCUUAGUCCAGGUUAGCUUUGAGGUCAUUCGGCACAGGUGACCUCCUGGCUGAGUUCAGAGGUCACUGGAGAAAAUCCCUUUCUGUACCCUCUUUUUAACCUUCAGAACCCAGGCAGUGGGUCAAGAAGGCCUUUUGCUUGGGAUAGAAUUUAUUUUCUUACUAGGAUCUGCUCUGGGGACUGGGAAAUGCCUGCACUUAGCCCAACACAGAAAGUGGGUGUCGCUUGCGUUCUGCUCACAUCACAGGUGUGAUGCUUUCUUCCUGACAAACUUUCCUCAGGCACACGGGUCUCAUUGAGCAUUACAAUGCCUAGUCCACAGGCCUUGGAGUGUAUGGGCUCAGAUAAUCAUGCACCUACUUGAUGAGGACUCAGAAGCCCGUGCCUGCCCUCUGUGUAGGCUGACCAUGGACACAUCCUACCAGUAAAUACAUGCACUGAACAGCUUGGGAAUUACCUCAAUGAGCUUGUGUUACAGACCCAAGCAGUCACAAAUUGUGAAACCUUGAUGUGGUGGUUCUCUUAGGAAACAUACACCCUAGAUCUGAACCUUUACACAUCCCAUCGUCAGCCGUGGGUUGGCAGAUGGGCCGAGAAUGGGGGUUGUAUCCCCAUUCUUAUCAGAGACAAAGACACUAGAUUCUAAAGUAUGAGAAUCCAUUCCCCCAAAUACGUGACCUCCUCAGUCACAAAGCGUGAGAGGUAGAAGGAGAAUGCAGGAGGGCAUCCCCAACCCACCACCGGAGGCCAGUCUGUGGGGACGGCACAGCUGGUGGGGAUGCUAUAGUCCAGCUGUGAGGAUGCUGCUGUCCAGCUGUGGGGAUGCUGCAGUCCAGUUAGGGGGAUGCUAUAGUCCAGCUGUGUGGGUGCUGCAGGCUGGGACUCAGCACAGACUGCUGCUCUGUUCCUUGAACCACCAGUCCCCUCUGCCUGGAUACUGUUCUACAGGAAUAUUAAGAAAGAAGCUGGGUAUGGUGGCACCGUGGUAGGCGGCACCUUGAGGUUUACACCUGCAGCAGGGACUCUGGUUCACAGGCCUCUGUGUUCCCUGUUGUUCAUCUUGGCAUCAGAAAAGAAACCAGCUGUGGAGAGCAGAGAAUGACUGAGUGUGUUCGCUACCUGCCCCUGUGAUGUCAGAGCGCAGAGACAGGUCUCCUCGCUCAGAUGGAGUGAGAGAGAAUGGUAGCUGUGGAUGCCAUCCGAAGGGGCAAGGGCACUUCUUAGACAGUGGCUCUUAGUGCUGGGACUGUCAGGAGCCCUGGACUCAGGGAUAGUAAAUGCCUCAGAGCCUUGUUCGCAUGGGAAGCCACCUCCAACAGCUGCUAGGAAAGACACCCUGCUUGUCUCCAGCCUAGAGGCCCUGUGAUGUAGACUCAUAAAUGGGGACUGAGCCAUGUCACCAGAUCCCCGGACCUUUAUAAACCUGGUUUCUCCUGUGUCAGACAGCCCAGAGACCAGGUGUCACUUUCCUCACCUCUGCCGAGGCAUGCAACCGUAACCCUGACACCUGAAUGCAGGCCUCAUCUGCCAUCCUGUCCCUGGAAUACCCUCAAUGAGCACCAGACUCAAGGAUCCCCUUCUAGGGGCUCCCUCUUUCCUGCUGGCCCAGCAUGUCAAAGGCAGCUCAAUUGGUUGCCUCAUUCUCCCAGAACCCUCUGAAGCCUUCUCCACACCUUCCUCUGCCUUUAGUGCUUCUACAUGUAUGCUGGCUCUUCUUUUAUAACUUAGCCACGUCUCACAUCCCUACUCUAGAGGUACAACACCCCCCACAUGCUUCCCAAAGCACCCCAGCCUCUUUUCUCUACAGAAUGUCUUCCCUUGAAGAAUGCCUUCCUGAGCUCCAGGGCACCUGGAUUGGCUUCUCAGAUUUGAGAGGUGUUGGCCCUGCCUGCCAGGUCUCUAGUCUUCCCCCUAGGAAGGCAGCCCUGGCCCAAAGUAUCCUGGCUGUCCUGACAGUGGUCACCUUGACCACUGGGGAUUCAGAGUGCCAUAGAAUUGUUGAGAGAGUAGCUUUCAUUAGGGGAAACUUGGGACUUGGUUCAGCAUCAAAGCCUGGCCUAGGUACCCACGUUCCUCCAGGAUAGACCUCAUCCUUAGGGUUCCCUGGGGAGGACACAGAACGCCUCUGAGCUCUGAUCUUCACUUCCAGGUGACCUUUUUAGAGUCACACUGUGAGAUUUUUCUGGGCCAGGCCAGCACUGCUUUAUAUAAUAGCUACUGCUUGGCCUGCGGUGGAACCACACUCCUGCCAGGGCCCUCACCAGCACCUCAGCAGAUAUGAGGUAAGUGGGCACAUCACCCCCUAGACUGUGGAUAAGGAAAUGUGUCUCAGAGAAGUCAGGAGUUGAGGCCACAGACUAACAAACAGUGGCCCGGGCAUCUAUCACUGGGCUUUAUGAUUCUGGUACCUAUGCAGCUCAUAGCGGGCCCUUUCCUGGGUCUUCCUGAGGCCCCUUGAGUGAUUCUAGUGAGCCUCCCUAAGGAGGCUCCUAUCAGCCAUUUCCACAUACAGGUGCUACUCAUUCCCACCUAGGCCCUUGGCUGGGGACCCAGGUCAGUGGCAUACCUGACUUCCACCUCUAGGGAGAGAAGAGGCAGAGUAUGGGCUCACAAUGAGGCCCAGGGGAUGCCUGUGCUUUGCACAGUGGUCUCCUUUAAAAGGCUCUUGGCUCUACAUUCAUUCCUAGGAAACCGAGAAGAAGGCAGAGCUAUGUUAGCUAAGAACAAGGGAGGGCAAGAUGUGGGUGUGAGGAGGUGACUGAGCCUUUGGCUAAGCUUAGUUGGGGGAUUCUGGAAUUUGUCUUUCAGUGAUACUCUUCCUGACCCUUGGCAUCACUCUGAGGUCAUGGUUUUGCCUGGAGGAGUGGGGCACAGUGAA